rnacentral:tRNA from 1 species
GCCGGGAUAGCUCAGUUGGCAGAGCGAGGCAUUCGUAAUGCCUAGGUCCGGGGUUCGAUUCCCCGUCCCGGCUCCA